UCCGAGUUGACCCCGGCAGUCUCCCAUGAGUCCCCGGCAUAACCCGCUGGCAACAUGGGAUAAGGGUUGCGCUCGUUGCGGGACUUAACCCAACAUCUCACGACACGAGCUGACGACAACCAUGCACCACCUGUGCACGGCCCUUACGGACCUCCCAUCUCUGGAAGAUUUCCGCGCAUGUCAAGCCUAGGUAAGGUUCUUCGCGUUGCAUCGAAUUAAGCAACAUGCUCCGCCGCUUGUGCGGGCCCCCGUCAAUUCCUUUGAGUUUUAGCCUUGCGGCCGUACUCCCCAGGCGGGGCGCUUAAUGCGUUAGCUGCGGCACGGAGACCGUGGAAUGGCCCCACACCUAGUGCCCAACGUUUACGGCAUGGACUAC
rnacentral:misc_RNA from 1 species